AGUUCGCCAUCUUUGCCCGUGGGGUACAUCAAUGUUUGUCGUCCACCUCCUUCGGAUGAAAUGUGUGGGGAAAAGUUCGCUGCUUUCAGACAACUCGGCUACAUUUCGAAGUAACAGCACGAAAGGAUUUAUUUUUCCUCGCGGAUGUUCUCUGUGGGGUUUCCUGCGAAGACAUCUGCGGUGAAAUGCUGUGACACGCAGCAGUUUUCUGGACUUGAACUUUCUCCUCGGUGUUAACCGCUAAUCUGGAACAAAGUGAUGUUCAUGUCAGAUGUGCUGCCAUCCUCUGUGCUCUCCUGCCGACCUGCAUGAGGAAGACUCCAGCUCUCUGAAGACCUGGAAUGUGUCACCACGUCGUCCACGACAUCGCCCACGAUCGCUGAGCCGCCGUCCAUGAUCGGAGAGACAUUGUUGAGGAUGAGGGAGACAUCGUCCUCGAUCAGAGACAUUGUCCGUGACUUGUGGUGACUCGGUCCCCAAUAAGUCGGCAUUGCCGGCGUUCAUGGAGACAUUGUCGAUGAUCGCAGAGACUUUGUCUAUAAUCUCAGAGACAUUGUCCGCGAUCACUGAGACGUUGUCCACGAUCGCAGAGAAUCUUCGUACGGUGAAGUUCUUUGAGACCAGGACAGAGGCCUCCAGGUGUCACCACGUCGUCCACGACAUCACCCACGAUCGCUGAGCCGCCGUCCAUGAUCGGAGAGACAUUGUUGAGGAUGAGGGAGACAUCGUCCUCGAUCAGAGACAUUGUCCGUGACUUGUGGUGACUCGGUCCCCAAUAAGUCGGCAUUGCCGGCGUUCAUGGAGACAUUGUCGAUGAUCGCAGAGACUUUGUCUAUAAUCUCAGAGACAUUGUCCGCGAUCACAGAGACGUCGUCCACGAUCGCAGAGACAUGGUCCAUGAUCGGAGAGACAUUGUUGAGGAUGAGGGAGACAUCGUCCACAGUCAGAGACGUUGUCCAUGAUUGCAGAGUCCUUGUCAAAGAUGAGAGAGACGUUGUCCAUGGUCAGAAACAUUGUCUCUGCUUCGCAGAGCUCUGCGCAAGAAUCGGUAGUGACACUGUGGUUCCUCGAUUCGACGGCAUGACCGCGAUCAGUUGACAUUGUUAAUGAUCACAGAGAAACAGUCUAUCAUCAGAGACUUGGUCCACGAUCACAGACACAUUGUCGAUGAUUGCAGAGACUUUGUCCAUAAUCUCAGAGAUAUUGUCCGCGAUCACAGAGACGUAGUCCACGAUCACAGAAGACCAGGUGUCACCACUUCGUCCACGACAUCGCCCACGAUCGCUGAGCCGUCGUCCAUGAUCGGAGAGACAUUGUUGAGGAUGAGGGAGACAUCGUCCUCGAUCAGAGACAUUGUCCGUGACUUGUGGUGACUCGGUCCCCAAUAAGUCGGCAUUCCCGGCGUUCAUGGAGACAUUGUCGAUGAUCGCAGAGACUUUGUCCACGAUCUCAGAGACAUUGUCCGCGAUCACUGAGACGUCGUCCACGAUCGCAGAGAAUCUUCGGACGGUGAAGUUCUUUGAGACCAGGACAGAGGCCUCCAGGUGUCACCACGUCGUCCACGACAUCACCCACGAUCGCUGAGCCGCCGUCCAUGAUCGGAGAGACAUUGUUGAGGAUGAGGGAGACAUCGUCCUCGAUCAGAGACAUUGUCCGUGACUUGUGGUGACUCGGUCCCCAAUAAGUCGGCAUUGCCGGCGUUCAUGGAGACAUUGUCGAUGAUCGCAGAGACUUUGUCUAUAAUCUCAGAGACAUUGUCCGCGAUCACAGAGACGUCGUCCACGAUCGCAGAGACAUGGUCCAUGAUCGGAGAGACAUUGUUGAGGAUGAGGGAGACAUCGUCCACAAUCAGAGACGUUGUCCAUGAUUGCAGAGUCCUUGUCAAAGAUGAGAGAGACGUUGUCCAUGGUCAGAAACAUUGUCUCUGCUUCGCAGAGCUCUGCGCAAGAAUCGGUAGUGACACUGUGGUUCCUCGAUUCGACGGCAUGACCGCGAUCAGCUGACAUUGUUAAUGAUCACAGAGAAACAGUCUAUCAUCAGAGACUUGGUCCACGAUCACAGACACAUUGUCGAUGAUUGCAGAGACUUUGUCCAUAAUCUCAGAGAUAUUGUCCGCGAUCACAGAGACGUAGUCCACGAUCACAGAAGACCAGGUGUCACCACUUCGUCCACGACAUCGCCCACGAUCGCUGAGCCGUCGUCCAUGAUCGGAGAGACAUUGUUGAGGAUGAGGGAGACAUCGUCCUCGAUCAGAGACAUUGUCCGUGACUUGUGGUGACUCGGUCCCCAAUAAGUCGGCAUUCCCGGCGUUCAUGGAGACAUUGUCGAUGAUCGCAGAGACUUUGUCCACGAUCUCAGAGACAUUGUCCGCGAUCACUGAGACGUCGUCCACGAUCGCAGAGAAUCUUCGGACGGUGAAGUUCUUUGAGACCAGGACAGAGGCCUCCAGGUGUCACCACGUCGUCCACGACAUCACCCACGAUCGCUGAGCCGCCGUCCAUGAUCGGAGAGACAUUGUUGAGGAUGAGGGAGACAUCGUCCUCGAUCAGAGACAUUGUCCGUGACUUGUGGUGACUCGGUCCCCAAUAAGUCGGCAUUGCCGGCGUUCAUGGAGACAUUGUCGAUGAUCGCAGAGACUUUGUCUAUAAUCUCAGAGACAUUGUCCGCGAUCACAGAGACGUCGUCCACGAUCGCAGAGACAUGGUCCAUGAUCGGAGAGACAUUGUUGAGGAUGAGGGAGACAUCGUCCACAGUCAGAGACGUUGUCCAUGAUUGCAGAGUCCUUGUCAAAGAUGAGAGAGACGUUGUCCAUGGUCAGAAACAUUGUCUCUGCUUCGCAGAGCUCUGCGCAAGAAUCGGUAGUGACACUGUGGUUCCUCGAUUCGACGGCAUGACCGCGAUCAGCUGACAUUGUUAAUGAUCACAGAGAAACAGUCUAUCAUCAGAGACUUGGUCCACGAUCACAGACACAUUGUCGAUGAUUGCAGAGACUUUGUCCAUAAUCUCAGAGAUAUUGUCCGCGAUCACAGAGACGUAGUCCACGAUCACAGAAGACCAGGUGUCACCACUUCGUCCACGACAUCGCCCACGAUCGCUGAGCCGUCGUCCAUGAUCGGAGAGACAUUGUUGAGGAUGAGGGAGACAUCGUCCUCGAUCAGAGACAUUGUCCGUGACUUGUGGUGACUCGGUCCCCAAUAAGUCGGCAUUCCCGGCGUUCAUGGAGACAUUGUCGAUGAUCGCAGAGACUUUGUCCACGAUCUCAGAGACAUUGUCCGCGAUCACUGAGACGUCGUCCACGAUCGCAGAGAAUCUUCGGACGGUGAAGUUCUUUGAGACCAGGACAGAGGCCUCCAGGUGUCACCACGUCGUCCACGACAUCACCCACGAUCGCUGAGCCGCCGUCCAUGAUCGGAGAGACAUUGUUGAGGAUGAGGGAGACAUCGUCCUCGAUCAGAGACAUUGUCCGUGACUUGUGGUGACUCGGUCCCCAAUAAGUCGGCAUUGCCGGCGUUCAUAGAGACAUUGUCGAUGAUCGCAGAGACUUUGUCUAUAAUCUCAGAGACAUUGUCCGCGAUCACAGAGACGUCGUCCACGAUCGCAGAGACAUGGUCCAUGAUCGGAGAGACAUUGUUGAGGAUGAGGGAGACAUCGUCCACAAUCAGAGACGUUGUCCAUGAUUGCAGAGACCUUGUCAAAGAUGAGAGAGACGUUGUCCAUGGUCAGAAACAUUGUCUCUGCUUCGCAGAGCUCUGCGCAAGAAUCGGUAGUGACACUGUGGUUCCUCGAUUCGACGGCAUGACCGCGAUCAGCUGACAUUGUUAAUGAUCACAGAGAAACAGUCUAUCAUCAGAGACUUGGUCCACGAUCACAGACACAUUGUCGAUGAUUGCAGAGACUUUGUCCAUAAUCUCAGAGAUAUUGUCCGCGAUCACAGAGACGUAGUCCACGAUCACAGAAGACCAGGUGUCACCACUUCGUCCACGACAUCGCCCACGAUCGCUGAGCCGUCGUCCAUGAUCGGAGAGACAUUGUUGAGGAUGAGGGAGACAUCGUCCUCGAUCAGAGACAUUGUCCGUGACUUGUGGUGACUCGGUCCCCAAUAAGUCGGCAUUGCCGGCGUUCAUGGAGACAUUGUCGAUGAUCGCAGAGACUUUGUCCACGAUCUCAGAGACAUUGUCCGCGAUCACUGAGACGUCGUCCACGAUCGCAGAGAAUCUUCGUACGGUGAAGUUCUUUGAGACCAGGACAGAGGCCUCCAGGUGUCACCACGUCGUCCACGACAUCGCCCACGAUCGCUGAGCCGCCGUCCAUGAUCGGAGAGACAUUGUUGAGGAUGAGGGAGACAUCGUCCUCGAUCAGAGACAUUGUCUGUGACUUGUGGUGACUCGGUCCCCAAUAAGUCGGCAUUCCCGGCGUUCAUGGAGACAUUGUCGAUGAUCGCAGAGACUUUGUCCACGAUCUCAGAGACAUUGUCCGCGAUCACUGAGACGUCGUCCACGAUCGCAGAGAAUCUUCGGACGGUGAAGUUCUUUGAGACCAGGACAGAGGCCUCCAGGUGUCACCACGUCGUCCACGACAUCACCCACGAUCGCUGAGCCGCCGUCCAUGAUCGGAGAGACAUUGUUGAGGAUGAGGGAGACAUCGUCCUCGAUCAGAGACAUUGUCCGUGACUUGUGGUGACUCGGUCCCCAAUAAGUCGGCAUUGCCGGCGUUCAUAGAGACAUUGUCGAUGAUCGCAGAGACUUUGUCUAUAAUCUCAGAGACAUUGUCCGCGAUCACAGAGACGUCGUCCACGAUCGCAGAGACAUGGUCCAUGAUCGGAGAGACAUUGUUGAGGAUGAGGGAGACAUCGUCCACAAUCAGAGACGUUGUCCAUGAUUGCAGAGACCUUGUCAAAGAUGAGAGAGACGUUGUCCAUGGUCAGAAACAUUGUCUCUGCUUCGCAGAGCUCUGCGCAAGAAUCGGUAGUGACACUGUGGUUCCUCGAUUCGACGGCAUGACCGCGAUCAGCUGACAUUGUUAAUGAUCACAGAGAAACAGUCUAUCAUCAGAGACUUGGUCCACGAUCACAGACACAUUGUCGAUGAUUGCAGAGACUUUGUCCAUAAUCUCAGAGAUAUUGUCCGCGAUCACAGAGACGUAGUCCACGAUCACAGAAGACCAGGUGUCACCACUUCGUCCACGACAUCGCCCACGAUCGCUGAGCCGUCGUCCAUGAUCGGAGAGACAUUGUUGAGGAUGAGGGAGACAUCGUCCUCGAUCAGAGACAUUGUCCGUGACUUGUGGUGACUCGGUCCCCAAUAAGUCGGCAUUGCCGGCGUUCAUGGAGACAUUGUCGAUGAUCGCAGAGACUUUGUCCACGAUCUCAGAGACAUUGUCCGCGAUCACUGAGACGUCGUCCACGAUCGCAGAGAAUCUUCGUACGGUGAAGUUCUUUGAGACCAGGACAGAGGCCUCCAGGUGUCACCACGUCGUCCACGACAUCGCCCACGAUCGCUGAGCCGCCGUCCAUGAUCGGAGAGACAUUGUUGAGGAUGAGGGAGACAUCGUCCUCGAUCAGAGACAUUGUCUGUGACUUGUGGUGACUCGGUCCCCAAUAAGUCGGCAUUCCCGGCGUUCAUGGAGACAUUGUCGAUGAUCGCAGAGACUUUGUCCACGAUCUCAGAGACAUUGUCCGCGAUCACUGAGACGUCGUCCACGAUCGCAGAGAAUCUUCGUACGGUGAAGUUCUUUGAGACCAGGACAGAGGCCUCCAGGUGUCACCACGUCGUCCACGACAUCACCCACGAUCGCUGAGCCGCCGUCCAUGAUCGGAGAGACAUUGUUGAGGAUGAGGGAGACAUCGUCCUCGAUCAGAGACAUUGUCCGUGACUUGUGGUGACUCGGUCCCCAAUAAGUCGGCAUUGCCGGCGUUCAUGGAGACAUUGUCGAUGAUCGCAGAGACUUUGUCUAUAAUCUCAGAGACAUUGUCCGCGAUCACAGAGACGUCGUCCACGAUCGCAGAGACAUGGUCCAUGAUCGGAGAGACAUUGUUGAGGAUGAGGGAGACAUCGUCCACAGUCAGAGACGUUGUCCAUGAUUGCAGAGUCCUUGUCAAAGAUGAGAGAGACGUUGUCCAUGGUCAGAAACAUUGUCUCUGCUUCGCAGAGCUCUGCGCAAGAAUCGGUAGUGACACUGUGGUUCCUCGAUUCGACGGCAUGACCGCGAUCAGCUGGCAUUGUUAAUGAUCACAGAGAAACAGUCUAUCAUCAGAGACUUGGUCCACGAUCACAGACACAUUGUCGAUGAUUGCAGAGACUUUGUCCAUAAUCUCAGAGAUAUUGUCCGCGAUCACAGAGACGUAGUCCACGAUCACAGAAGACCAGGUGUCACCACUUCGUCCACGACAUCGCCCACGAUCGCUGAGCCGUCGUCCAUGAUCGGAGAGACAUUGUUGAGGAUGAGGGAGACAUCGUCCUCGAUCAGAGACAUUGUCCGUGACUUGUGGUGACUCGGUCCCCAAUAAGUCGGCAUUGCCGGCGUUCAUGGAGACAUUGUCGAUGAUCGCAGAGACUUUGUCCACGAUCUCAGAGACAUUGUCCGCGAUCACUGAGACGUCGUCCACGAUCGCAGAGAAUCUUCGGACGGUGAAGUUCUUUGAGACCAGGACAGAGGCCUCCAGGUGUCACCACGUCGUCCACGACAUCACCCACGAUCGCUGAGCCGCCGUCCAUGAUCGGAGAGACAUUGUUGAGGAUGAGGGAGACAUCGUCCUCGAUCAGAGACAUUGUCCGUGACUUGUGGUGACUCGGUCCCCAAUAAGUCGGCAUUGCCGGCGUUCAUGGAGACAUUGUCGAUGAUCGCAGAGACUUUGUCUAUAAUCUCAGAGACAUUGUCCGCGAUCACAGAGACGUCGUCCACGAUCGCAGAGACAUGGUCCAUGAUCGGAGAGACAUUGUUGAGGAUGAGGGAGACAUCGUCCACAAUCAGAGACGUUGUCCAUGAUUGCAGAGUCCUUGUCAAAGAUGAGAGAGACGUUGUCCAUGGUCAGAAACAUUGUCUCUGCUUCGCAGAGCUCUGCGCAAGAAUCGGUAGUGACACUGUGGUUCCUCGAUUCGACGGCAUGACCGCGAUCAGUUGACAUUGUUAAUGAUCACAGAGAAACAGUCUAUCAUCAGAGACUUGGUCCACGAUCACAGACACAUUGUCGAUGAUUGCAGAGACUUUGUCCAUAAUCUCAGAGAUAUUGUCCGCGAUCACAGAGACGUAGUCCACGAUCACAGAAGACCAGGUGUCACCACGUCGUCCACGACAUCGCCCACGAUCGCUGAGCCGCCGUCCAUGAUCGGAGAGACAUUGUUGAGGAUGAGGGAGACAUCGUCCUCGAUCAGAGACAUUGUCCGUGACUUGUGGUGACUCGGUCCCCAAUAAGUCGGCAUUCCCGGCGUUCAUGGAGACAUUGUCGAUGAUCGCAGAGACUUUGUCUAUAAUCUCAGAGACAUUGUCCGCGAUCACAGAGACGUCGUCCACGAUCGCAGAGACAUGGUCCAUGAUCGGAGAGACAUUGUUGAGGAUGAGGGAGACAUCGUCCACAAUCAGAGACGUUGUCCAUGAUUGCAGAGACCUUGUCAAAGAUGAGAGAGACGUUGUCCAUGGUCAGAAACAUUGUCUCUGCUUCGCAGAGCUCUGCGCAAGAAUCGGUAGUGACACUGUGGUUCCUCGAUUCGACGGCAUGACCGCGAUCAGCUGACAUUGUUAAUGAUCACAGAGAAACAGUCUAUCAUCAGAGACUUGGUCCACAAUCACAGACACAUUGUCGAUGAUUGCAGAGACUUUGUCCAUAAUCUCAGAGAUAUUGUCCGCGAUCACAGAGACGUAGUCCACGAUCACAGAAGACCAGGUGUCACCACUUCGUCCACGACAUCGCCCACGAUCGCUGAGCCGUCGUCCAUGAUCGGAGAGACAUUGUUGAGGAUGAGGGAGACAUCGUCCUCGAUCAGAGACAUUGUCCGUGACUUGUGGUGACUCGGUCCCCAAUAAGUCGGCAUUGCCGGCGUUCAUGGAGACAUUGUCGAUGAUCGCAGAGACUUUGUCCACGAUCUCAGAGACAUUGUCCGCGAUCACUGAGACGUCGUCCACGAUCGCAGAGAAUCUUCGUACGGUGAAGUUCUUUGAGACCAGGACAGAGGCCUCCAGGUGUCACCACGUCGUCCACGACAUCGCCCACGAUCGCUGAGCCGCCGUCCAUGAUCGGAGAGACAUUGUUGAGGAUGAGGGAGACAUCGUCCUCGAUCAGAGACAUUGUCCGUGACUUGUGGUGACUCGGUCCCCAAUAAGUCGGCAUUGCCGGCGUUCAUGGAGACAUUGUCGAUGAUCGCAGAGACUUUGUCUAUAAUCUCAGAGACAUUGUCCGCGAUCACAGAGACGUCGUCCACGAUCGCAGAGACAUGGUCCAUGAUCGGAGAGACAUUGUUGAGGAUGAGGGAGACAUCGUCCACAGUCAGAGACGUUGUCCAUGAUUGCAGAGUCCUUGUCAAAGAUGAGAGAGACGUUGUCCAUGGUCAGAAACAUUGUCUCUGCUUCGCAGAGCUCUGCGCAAGAAUCGGUAGUGACACUGUGGUUCCUCGAUUCGACGGCAUGACCGCGAUCAGUUGACAUUGUUAAUGAUCACAGAGAAACAGUCUAUCAUCAGAGACUUGGUCCACGAUCACAGACACAUUGUCGAUGAUUGCAGAGACUUUGUCCAUAAUCUCAGAGAUAUUGUCCGCGAUCACAGAGACGUAGUCCACGAUCACAGAAGACCAGGUGUCACCACUUCGUCCACGACAUCGCCCACGAUCGCUGAGCCGUCGUCCAUGAUCGGAGAGACAUUGUUGAGGAUGAGGGAGACAUCGUCCUCGAUCAGAGACAUUGUCCGUGACUUGUGGUGACUCGGUCCCCAAUAAGUCGGCAUUCCCGGCGUUCAUGGAGACAUUGUCGAUGAUCGCAGAGACUUUGUCCACGAUCUCAGAGACAUUGUCCGCGAUCACUGAGACGUCGUCCACGAUCGCAGAGAAUCUUCGUACGGUGAAGUUCUUUGAGACCAGGACAGAGGCCUCCAGGUGUCACCACGUCGUCCACGACAUCACCCACGAUCGCUGAGCCGCCGUCCAUGAUCGGAGAGACAUUGUUGAGGAUGAGGGAGACAUCGUCCUCGAUCAGAGACAUUGUCCGUGACUUGUGGUGACCCGGUCCCCAAUAAGUCGGCAUUGCCGGCGUUCAUGGAGACAUUGUCGAUGAUCGCAGAGACUUUGUCUAUAAUCUCAGAGACAUUGUCCGCGAUCACAGAGACGUCGUCCACGAUCGCAGAGACAUGGUCCAUGAUCGGAGAGACAUUGUUGAGGAUGAGGGAGACAUCGUCCACAAUCAGAGACGUCGUCCACGAUCGCAGAGAAUCUUCGUACGGUGAAGUUCUUUGAGACCAGGACAGAGGCCUCCAGGUGUCACCACGUCGUCCACGACAUCGCCCACGAUCGCAGAGAUGUAGUCCACAAUCACAGAGUCCUGAUAUAAUGAAGAAGGUGUCACCACUUUGUCCACGAUCAGAGAUGUUGUCUAUGACUCACAGAGAAGUGCAAGAGUCGGUAGUGGCGGAGUUCCCUGAUUCAACGGCAGUGCUUGGGAUCAGAAAGAUAUUGUUGAUGAUCACAGAGACUUUGUCCAUAAUCAGAGGGACAGUGUUCAUGAUCAUGGAGACUUUGUCAAUAAACAGAAAGACAUUGACUGCGAUCACAGAGACGUAGUCCACAAUUGCAGAGAAGUUCAGGACAGAGGCCUGCAAGUAACUUUUCAAUUCAAUUCAAUUCAAUUUUAUUUAUAUAGCGCCAUAUCACAACAACAGUCAUCUCAAGGCACUUUUCAUAUAGUGCAGGUCUAGACCGUACUCUUUAAAAUAGGUAGUAACCUCCAAGAAAUGCAACUAGGAAUAUCAGAAGAUGUAACAAAGUAAUCUCUUCCUAGAUGUAGUUUGCAACAGCAGAAGUUGUCUGUAAACUUCGAAGAUGUGUGAUUAAAAAAAGUACAAAAUAAUAACAGUAAAUAAUAUUAGAGGUAACAAUAAAAGUUAUCCGUAAUAUAUAAGCAAUGCAGAAGUAAUCCAAAAGAUAAAAAUGUUAUACGAUAGUAAGGCGUCAAAAAUGGCCGUGGUAUAAUCAGCCAUUGAAAAAUGGUCAAAAAAUGUCAGUAUUGUAUGGUGUCAAAAAAAACCAUCACAAAAUUUCAUAGUAUAGUAAAAUAUCAAAAACCAUCAAAAAAAUGUCAUACUAUGGCGUAAAAAAAAUUCCAUAGUAUAGUAAGGAGUCAAAAAAGGUCUAAAAAUUUCAUACUAUAGCAAGGUGUCAAAAAUGUCACAGUAUAGUAUGGCAUCAAAAACCAUCAAAAUAUGGUCAAAAAUGUCAUUGUAUAGUAAGGCCUCCAAACAUGGUCAUAGUAUAGAAAGAUGUCAAAAAUGUCAAACAUUUGAGCUUUGUUGUCUUUGUCAUUUCAUUUUCUUUUUUGU